UGUUGACGUCAUUCUUAAAGGGCCAGUCGCAUUUGCUUUCGAGUUCUUUUUCCCCGUCGGCCACCCAAAGUACGUGGACGUCCAACUAAAAACUUGAGACGAGUGACAAUAAUUUUGGAUGUUGUGGCUUCCGGCCCCAUUUAAUUUUGAAAACGUUUCGAAAGGUCACUUUUGACGGUCCCCGCCGCCUCGACCAAUAAAAAAACGCGCGCGAUCAAAAACGACGGCCGAUUUGAAUCACCUGCCUCGUCUCGUAUUCGUUGCGUGCCGAGUCAAAAACGCUUCGAGGUCUCCGGAACCCACGAUGUCCGAGGCGAAUGGUGCUCGCGCGCCCGUCGCGGAAAGGGUCAGUGGGGAGAAAUCGCAAGCGGGCCGAGUCGUUUUCAGGCUAAACAUUUCGCGCGCCGUUUCGUCGAAGGUGCGGCGGGAUGUCGACGAGAGGAUCCGGACGGCGUCGGAGCAAAUCGCCUUGUGCAAUCAAAUCCUGCAGGACUUGAAAGAGCUCGACCGCGUUCUCGUGACGAGAUCUCUGCCGGACGAGACCUUGCCGCCACAAAAACCACCACCCGCUUCUCGCUAAAAUGAGACAACAACGGCGCUCUCCCCAGGCAAUGCGUUUUUAUUAGUACAGUGCUCUUAGUUGAGAAAGUUGUGAUAUCGAGCAUAUGCAAACAUCCAACCUAGACACACACACACACAUUCUCGCAGGCCGGGUGGCGGCGAGACAUCCCCCUUCGGAAGCACGCGCCGUAGCGAUUUCCUCCUGGACCGAUUCGAUGCAAUUGUCAAAUGAAUGA